AGUGAACGCUGGCGGUAGGCCUAACACAUGCAAGUCGAACGGCAGCACAGUAAGAGCUUGCUCUUACGGGUGGCGAGUGGCGGACGGGUGAGGAAUACAUCGGAAUCUACUUUUUCGUGGGGGAUAACGUAGGGAAACUUACGCUAAUACCGCAUAUGACCUACGGGUGAAAGCAGGGGAUCUUCGGACCUUGCGCGAUUGAAUGAGCCGAUGUCGGAUUAGCUAGUUGGCGGGGUAAAGGCCCACCAAGGCGACGAUCCGUAGCUGGACUGAGAGGAUGAUCAGCCACACUGGAACUGAGACACGGUCCAGACUCCUACGGGAGGCAGCAGUGGGGAAUAUUGGACAAUGGGCGAAAGCCUGACCCAGCCAUACCGCGUGAGUGAAGAAGGCCUUCGGAUCGUAAAGCCCUUUUAUUAGGAAAGAAAAACAGCAGAUUAAUCCCCCGCUGUUCUGACGGUACCCAAAGAAUAAGCACCGGCUAACUUCGUG
rnacentral:rRNA from 1 species